rnacentral:rRNA from 1 species
GAUCCUGGCUCAGGACGAACGCUGGCGGCGUGCCUAACACAUGCAAGUCGAGCGGGGACACAUUUUGGAAGUUUUCGGAUGGAAGAAGUGUGUUCUAGCGGCGGACGGGUGAGUAACGCGUGAGCAACCUGUCCCUCACAGGGGAAUAACGCAUCGAAAGGUGUGCUAAUACCGCAUGAGACCACGGUACCGACAUGGUACAGGGGUUAAAGGAGCAAUCCGGUGAGGGGUGGGCUCGCGUCUGAUUAG